CUAUACAACUUUCAGCAACGGAUCUCUUGGCUCUCGCAUCGAUGAAGAACGCAGCGAAAUGCGAUAAGUAAUGUGAAUUGCAGAAUUCAGUGAAUCAUCGAAUCUUUGAACGCACCUUGCGCUCCUUGGUAUUCCGAGGAGCAUGCCUGUUUGAGUGUCA
rnacentral:rRNA from 1 species